UAAGAUUGCUAACGGAGAAGCAAUCUUCGUCCCAAACAACAGAGAGAGAAAGAGCUUAGGGCUCUGCCAGGUGCUAGAGAGAGAAGUGGAAUGACACCUUCCAAAACGAUGCAGCCAUGGACGUUUGGCGAAAGGAAAAAUACGCUCAGCACAGAGGCUUUGUCGGAGUUUCUUUGCAACGGAUUACUUCAAAAAGCUUUGAUUUUCAAGUUCACCUAUUGAAUCAAGGUAUGGUUUGGAUUUGAAGUAUAAUACUAGUAUUAUGAGUGUGGGUUUUCCGGUUCUGGUAGUUUGCGGGUGGGAGUGGGUGUAACAUGAACCGGAUUAUGUAAUCUUGGUUUGUUUUGUGUACCUUGAAAUAUAAAAUCCGGUUUAAAUCUCUAGAUAUGGGUUUGAUCACCAGAUUACGUACGUGAUACGAGGAUGUCAUAAACCAAAACACACAAUCCAUUGGUGUUUCUUAGGAUGUAGUUACCAGACUGCAGAAUUAGAUUAUUAUCUUUGGAUAUAGGAAAAGGUGAUCGGAUUAUACUGUUGAAUUACAUCAUCAAGAAAUAUCUUUGUAUGUUCCGGUUAA